UGAAAUGACAUCCAUCUGUUCAAUAUAUACAUAGAGAGAGUGGGUUUAUUCUAAUAACACCCCUUAAGAGUCUUAUUCUGCUAACAUUAUUCUGCUAACACCCACACCUCCCACCUUAUCCUCUCGUCAUCACCCACCUCUCUCUCCCGUCCCCGUGCUCCUCCCUCCACUCCCCACGAGCUCCCCUUCCCAGCCCCGCCACUCCAUCCCUCUCCCAGCGCCGCCGCACGACCCCCCGUCGCAGGACCACCCCAACCACUUCCUACCGCGCGGCGGUGACCCACCUACCCCCGACCACCUCCCACGCGGCGGCACGCCCACCCCCGACCACCUCCCACGCGGCGGCGCGCACACCCCCGACCACCUCCCACCACGCGGCAGCGCGACCACCCCCGACCACCUCCCACCACGCAGCGGCGCGCCCACCCCCGACCACCUCCCACCACGCGGCAGCGCGCCCGCCCCCGUCGCGGCCUGCGCCCCACCCUCGACUAACCGCUGCCGGCGCACCUCACCAUGACCUCCGCGGCUCCCUGGCGUUGGAUCCGGCCAAGCCGUGCCGAAAUCGAGCACCCCGUUCUUCCUCCUUUCUCUAACCUAUGUUCAUCCCUGAGAUCUCGUCUCUCUCUCACAGCAGGAUGUCGUCGGUUGCCGCUCCUCACGCCCAGGCGCCGCUGCCCUCGUCAGAUCCGGCGCCUCUGACCGGGUCCAUCCCUUCCACAGCCUCGCCGACACCUCCCCGUGCAGGAUCCCGACGGUCACGCCAUUGAUGAUGCGAGUAUGGCCGCAUCUCCCCCCCCCCCCCCCCCCCCCCCCCCCCUCCCCCCCCCCCCCCCCCCCCCCCCCGUCACAGCUCCCCUCCUCCGCCUAAAGCACACCGCCAGUAGCACGCCCGCAGUCCUCCGGUGCGAGGGCUUGCAGUCCGGCGGCCCACCGGCCAUGGACUCCGGCGGGGGUGGUGAGGACAUGGCCAUCCCAAGGAGGCAGCGGUGACGCCUUACAGCCCAAGGAAGGGCAGGACAGCAGUCCGGCCGCCCACCCCCAGCCCCCGUGCAGUUGGCGUGGUGCGUCCGGUGCAGUGCGGAACGCGUGUGCGUGGGUGCGCAGUUCUGGCGAGGUCAAAGAACUCCCUCUUCCUCGUCCCAUGGCCGAUCCAAGGUGCUCCACGUCGACGUACAGGAAAACAAUGGGAGCGACGGCGAGGAUGGUCUUUUGGUUCACUGAUUUUGUUUUUUGCGGUUGAAAAUCGUCAGGGCCUUAUCAUACUGUAGUUUACUUUUCCUCAAGGUGCUCGCCGCCGACGUACUGCGGUUUGCUAUGAGUUGUUCUUCCGGUUGAAUUUGCAGGGUUUUUCCAGUGAAUUUUUAAAAGGAAAUCAGUUCCUUUUCCUGAGGUGUGAAGUUUACUUGUGCAUAUUUCCAUGUAAUUUUGCACUUAGUCCUGCAGUGCACUCGAUGCGGUAAGCUCUGACCGUGCCCGCAGUUUAGAUGGGAGCUUAAUGAGGUUCACAUUCAAAUGUACUGCUCAACAGUGGUUCAGCAACUCAUCCCGUGCAGCUCGGUUUGCACAGGCAUGCGGUUUGGUGUAUCGCCGCGUGCAGCUCGGGGGUGUGCAGGCGUACAGUUUGUGCAUGGGUGUUUUUUUAAGUUAAAUGAAACUGCAAGUUGUGCAUCCUGGGGGUUUGAUGUGUGUGCGGCAUUGACCAUGCAGUACUCGGAUGAACACAUGUCUCUUGCAGUUAGGCAAACGUGUGAGUGCAGUAUGACAUGUAAUUUCUGGGGGGGUUGCAUUUUUCUUCUGAUUUUGUUGUGCCAUGCGAUGUGUGGUUGCUGGACGUGCUUAUUUUCUAGGUACUAUUGUUUGUGUCUAGAGGUUCGUUUCAUCAUUCUCAAGCGGUUCAUUUUGAAGAAAGAAAAGGAUAGUUAGAAAAAGAAACUAAUGCAGUACACUGGCCUUUACUCCGGAGUUCGGACGCGUUAACACAAAAAAGAAAAAAAUGACAAAAAUAGAAGAAUGCAGUGCACUAGCCUCUACUCUGGAGUUCGGACUUGUUUCAUCAUUCUCAAGUGGUUCAUUUUGAAGAAAGAAAAGGAUAGUUAGAAAAAGAAACUAAUGCAGUACACUAGCCUCUACUCUGGAGUUCGGACGCGUUAACACAAAAAAGAAAAAAAAUGACAAAAAUAGAAGAAUGCAGUGCACUUGGCUCGCCACUACAGUCCCAUAAGUGCGGUUUUCAUUAUGUAAAAAAAAACAACAACUCGUAUGAGAAAAAUAACGUCCGACAAAAGAAAUUAUGCAGCUCGCUUGCUCAUCCGAUGCAGUGCGGUUUUCAUUCUGAGGCAGUGCGGUCGGUUGUAUGAUGUUGUUCAUCCCGUAAGUGCAAAAAAAUUGUUACGAAAGCGAAAAAAAGUAAUGCGGUUCACUUCUUGAUAGUGUUGUGGUUUAUUUACACCCGAUGUGAAGUGCACUCUACUUCCUCGUCCUUAAAAAAAUACGUUUGGAUAAAAUAAACCAUGCAGUUCUCUAACACGUCUGCUGCAGUGCGGUUUUUCGUCCGAUGCAGCAGCAACAUCUAUUCCACGCCCCUACUUCAACCAGCUGGACGAGGCUCCAUGGCCUUCGUGUCCUAGCUUCUACUCUCUGGACAGGGUGUUACUAUGGCAGAGAAAAGGAGAGCUGAGAUCAAGGUGCCAUUUUGAAGCGAUGCAAACCUUGCAUGUAUGCACAAUUUCAGGUCACAAUACUUUGAUAGUGAGGUAAAGCUACCUAUCGCCAACCUUUUGUGUUCAGAUCUGAGAGAAAUAACCAAGAGAAAGGAAGAAGGUAAGGUAUGUGCCCACUAAACUCCUAAGGAGGUAAGGCUGUUGUUUGGAGCAUUAGGCCACAGAAGCAAUGUCCAUAUUUAUGCUAUAUGCUACUUGUAGUGAGGCGAAGAAAAUACUUUACAAGCCCUCAGAGCGCUCUUUCCAUAUUUCCAUACAAAAGGAUCAUUGUCAAGCAAAGAUGAGUUGACUGAAUUUUUGGCACAUUCAUUCUCAUGACUUCAAUUGAUUUGAUUAUCUGCGAUGGAAUUGAUUAUGACAAUAAUGGCAACAUGGUCAGAAUACUUGCUGUUGUUGGACCAAGGGGAUGCUCUGAUGCUUCUGUUGUUUCGUUGCACAUCCUUGUUAGCUAUAUCUCUUAGUUCAUUGUGAAUUGCGAUACUACUUUUCUCAUGAGAUAUAUUGGUCACAAUAAAAUGUUAAACAACUCUACACCUUAUUUACAAAUUCUCAUCGCAGGUGCGAGUACUCCUCAAAGGAUCUAUUUGAGAUUGCAUGGAAGUCAUGCGAGAAAGAAGCGAAUUCUAUGCCAACCCUACUGUGUGUAUAUGUGAAACGACUAAAGAUGACCCCUCUGCUGCAGGAGCGAAGAAUUCCGAAGAUGAUCCCACUAGGACAGAAGAGGUGAUUGAUAUUGGGGCUGGCGAUGAUUCUUUUGUCAGAUGGAAGGAUACUGAGCUAGAGGAGAUCCUGAUUAGUUGAGUUAUUGUGCAGCUCAAAGAAAUUAGCUUUUGCAUACCAGUGGUGUAUGUGGUAUACUAAAAAUUCAGAGAAUUUCCGAUUUUAUUUGGACGGAUUUUGGUGUGUGCAAGAACUUUACUUCUUAAUAUAGCGUACUGCAUCUUAUUUUGGCCUGCACUGUGUUUCACUGAAUUUUCGUUGGAAUCCGGGAAUUUCAGAGGUUUUUUCCCCUUUUUGUUUCCAGAUUGCACACUUUAAUUGUAUUUUAGACUCCAUACGUCACAUUCGAGAUUUGACCUUCAAGGUUUCAUAUUACACAAUAUUUCAUAUUAUAUUUUGAAAGGAAUCAGAAAAACAAUCACAUAUUUGAAUUCUUUAUAAUAAUCAAUCGAGUAUAUAUACCUCCUUUCAAAACAUCCAUGUGUAUUUUGUAUAGAAAAAAAAUACAUUAUACACUGAUCAUACAGACACUAGAUCCUCUCAAUACAAAACAUGUCAGCAUCUACAAUUUCAUUAGUACACCAUUGGCUUGCGACUUCCUGCAUCCUUCAUCUUUUUGUUGACACUAAAAAACAAGACUUCCUACAUCCUUCAUCUAAUACAACAUAUUGUCCCCCUAAUCAGAGCUCCUGAAUCUUGUAUAAAUGAGUUUUUGUGUCAUAGAAGAACUAAGACACAUACUAUCGUAUUGUAAUUACUCCUAUAGUGCCACGGAAUCGAACAGAUAGAACUUACCUCAUGGAGAACGCUGAAGACGAGAACUGAGAAAAAAGGGUUUCCUUCGCAUUGAUAGUAUUCAGAGAAAUAGUGCAUUCUGAUUUGGCAUAUCAGGAAUCUUUUUGUUUGUGGUCUAUAACUAUCAAAAUGAACCGAUAGACAACCAUCUGGCAAAAUACUAGAGGAAGAUACAGACAUGAAGAAUAUCCGAAACCAAGAAAUAAACACAAUUUUUCUCGGAUACACUCAACAAAGAUACUUGUUGACAAGCCUAUUACAAUCUGCUGAAAAGCACACACAAAUUAGAACAAACUUCCAGUGGUACUUCUACAAGUAAAUUCGACAAGCUCUCACAUGGAACGAUUUUAUCGAUAGAAUAUUUUGAAAGGUAAAUGCAUUGCACCCCAAUCAAGUAUUCACUAUACAUCAUGAAAAAUAUGGCGGUGAAAUCUUUGCCCUUUUGUUAGAAAUUUUGCUUUUUGUCAGACUAAAUAACCAAAGAACAGCUGAAUGACAUGUUCAAUCCAUGGCAUAAAAA